rnacentral:rRNA from 1 species
UAGGGAAUCUUCCGCAAUGGGCGAAAGCCUGACGGAGCAACGCCGCGUGAGUGAUGAAGGUCUUCGGAUCGUAAAACUCUGUUAUUAGGGAAGAACAAAUGUGUAAGUAACUAUGCACGUCUUGACGGUACCUAAUCAGAAAGCCACGGCUAACUACGUGCCAGCAGCCGCGGUAAUACGUAGGUGGCAAGCGUUAUCCGGAAUUAUUGGGCGUAAAGCGCGCGUAGGCGGUUUUUUAAGUCUGAUGUGAAAGCCCACGGCUCAACCGUGGAGGGUCAUUGGAAACUGGAAAACUUGAGUGCAGAAGAGGAAAGUGGAAUUCCAUGUGUAGCGGUGAAAUGCGCAGAGAUAUGGAGGAACACCAGUGGCGAAGGCGACUUUCUGGUCUGUAACUGACGCUGAUGUGCGAGAGCGUGGGGAUCAAACAGG